rnacentral:RNase_P_RNA from 1 species
UCAGCCGGCCGGAUGGCCGCCGGGGGGUGUCAAAGCCCUCGGGAGGAAAGUCCGGGCUCCAUGGAAAGACGGUGCCGGGUAACGCCCGGCGGGGGCAACCCCAGGGACAGUGCAACAGAGAACAGACCGCCAUCUCUUGAGGUGGCAAGGGUGAAACGGUGCGGUAAGAGCGCACCGCGCGCACGGCAACGGACGCGGCGUUGGUAAACCCCACCGGGAGCAAGACCGAAUAGGGAUGGCACGGGCGAGAGCCCAGGCGGUUU